CGGGGCGGGGCUUUGGCUGCGUCGGCCGCGUAGCCCGCGCGCGGAGCGGACCCUGCUGCGGCCGUUGGCCGUUAGCGCGGCUUCGGCGGUUGUCUUGGAGAAGCAAGAUGGCGGCGACGGCGGCCGCAGUGGUGGCCGAGGAGGACACGGAGCUGCGGGACCUGCUGGUGCAGACGCUGGAGAACAGCGGGGUCCUGAACCGCAUCAAGGCUGAACUCCGAGCAGCUGUGUUUUUAGCACUAGAGGAGCAAGAAAAAGUAGAGAACAAAACUCCUUUAGUUAAUGAGAGCCUGAAAAAGUUUUUAAAUACCAAAGACGGUCGUUUAGUGGCUAGUCUUGUUGCAGAAUUUCUUCAGUUUUUUAACCUUGACUUUACUUUGGCUGUUUUUCAACCUGAAACUAGCACACUGCAAGGUCUCGAAGGUCGAGAGAAUUUAGCCCGAGAUUUAGGUAUAAUUGAAGCAGAAGGUACUGUGGGUGGACCCUUAUUAUUAGAAGUGAUCAGGCGCUGUCAACAGAAAGAAAAAGGGCCAACCACUGGGGAAGGUGCACUUGAUCUAUCUGAUGUACAUUCUCCACCAAAGUCACCAGAGGGAAAAACAAGUGCACAGACAACACCAAGUAAGAUACCAAGGUAUAAAGGACAAGGUAAGAAGAAGACAAGCGGGCAGAAGGCUGGUGACAAGAAGGCCAAUGAUGAGGCCAAUCAGAGUGAUACAAGUGUCUCCUUGUCAGAACCCAAGAGCAAAAGCAGCCUUCACUUACUGUCCCAUGAAACAAAAAUUGGAUCUUUUCUAAGCAACAGAACUUUAGAUGGCAAAGACAAAGCCAGCCUUUGUCCAGAUGAAGAUGAUAUGGAAGGAGAUUCUUUCUUUGAUGAUCCCAUUCCUAAGCCAGAGAAAACUUACGGUUUGAGGAAUGAACCUAGGAAGCAAGCAGGAAGUCUGGCCUUGCUCUCGGAUGCACCCCCCUUAAAAAGUGGACUCAGCUCCCUGGCGGGAGCCCCUUCUUUAAAAGACUCUGAGAGUAAAAGGGGAAAUACAGUUUUGAAAGAUCUGAAAUUGAUCAGUGAUAAAAUUGGAUCACUUGGAUUAGAAGAAUAAAUGUUCCCUGAGCUGCCCGGAUUCUUGUUCGACACAGUGCCCUGGAGUCCUGGUAACUGAGUUGCUGGUUGUGCCGCCAUCUGCUCUUUGUGCGUCCUGGUUGCUGGCUGGCCAGCUAGGUGGGCCUGCCUCCUUUCCCUCCCUUGUGCUUUUCCUGUCAGCUGUGGUCGUGGUUGCCAUUAGAUGUUCUUUUCCACUAAAUCUCAAUGGCUAACUGCCACCAGAGACUUUACUCCUGACCUCUGCACCGUGAUGGCUGCCCUGUCCCCUUUGUGUUCUGUUUUUUUCACUUUUGUGGUGUUUCACUCUGUUGCCAAACCUUUUAGCUUUUUUCUCUGACUGCUCUAUUCUCUUACCAAAGUGAGGGUUUUCCCGCCUGUUUCUGAGUGGAGAGCUGCCGAGAAUUCUCAUCCUCAGGAGGGAAUGUCGUUGCUGGGGCUGCAGAGUUGCUGGGUACAGGCAGGAGGGUGGUGUGCUCCUUCACUUCACUUUGUCUUGGGACUUAGGCAUACCUCGGGUUGGAAUUGGGGUAGUUAUGCAGGUGAGAACUACCAGUUCACUAGCUGGAUGUUUGUCAUUUAGCUAGGCAUUAGGAUUCAGUAGAAAUAAAGUUUUAUUUCGUUUUGCAACAAUGUUGUUUUCUGUUUGGGUUUUUUACAUUUUAAAUAUACAGUACUCUAGGUAUUUUGAGUAAUAUGUAGACAGAUGUUAGUGGACCAGCCUAGGAGAAUAAUGAUGUUAGUGAUAAGUGCCUGGCACUGUACCAAGGAAUUAUUUAAUUCAUAUCCUAUGAGGUAGGUUUUAUUACUAUCUCCAUUUUUACAGAUGAAGAAUCUAGGUUAAGUAACGUGCCCAAGGUCAUGCUGCUUUUAGAGUCCUGAUGCAUCACACAGAGCCCUCACCACUGUGUUUUACUGCCUGUAUGUUAUUUAGACAUAUUGAAAUAAUCAUUUCAAUGAGAACAUAAAUUCUGAGUUCCAAAUAAAUAAUCUACAAAUAAAGCUUUAGAGCACCAUCUAUUUUAGUUUGGCAGACAAAUAUUAAUUAAAGGUGCCCAAAUGGAGUGUUUAUAGAUAGGUACUUUGCAUAUUUAAAGCAAGAGUUGCUAAGCUUUUUCCGUAAAGGGCCAAAUAGUCUAUAUUUUAGGGUUUGUGGAUGGCAUGUACUGUCUCUCACAUAGUCUUUGUGUGUUUUUUUGUUUUUUAACAAUCUUUAAAAAUGUAAAAGCCAUUCUUAGUUCACAGGCUGAACAAAAGCAGGUCAUCAGCCAGAGGCAAGAAUGAAAGUAAGGAAAGCAGAAGGCUGUCAGGAAGUCCGGGCCAAAGAUGACUGGGGAACUGGAGAAGAUGAUGACUAUGUUGAUGAUUUUAAUAGUACCAGCCAUCGCUCAGAGAAAAGUGAGAUAAGUAUUGGUGAAGAGAUAGAAGAAGACCUUUCUGUGGAAAUAGAUGACAUCAAUACCAGUGAUAAGCUUGAUGACCUCACACAAGAUCUGACUGUAUCCCAGCUCAGUGAUGUUGCGGAUUAUCUGGAAGAUGUUGCAUAGACACAAAGAAGGAAGUAUUCUAAUUAACAAGGACAGAGGACUGACCGGUUCCAUUUUUUUUUUCCCAGACAAUCAUUCAGCUGGAAUGUCUGCUCUCUAUUGGUGCCUUGCAUUUCAAAAACACUGCAGAUAUUUUUUAAAAGUAAUUUUCAUUUUACUAAACAAAAUACUUCCUAUUUGAGCCCAUGUGUGGAAGAUUUAAUAUUCUUAAUUUAACUGUACAUUUCUUUAUGGAAAUUGAUUAUCUACACUCAGUUUCAUUACAGGGAAGGAACCCAUGAAAACAUCAGUGUUAAGAGCAUGAUGAAGGGUGUCAAUAAAGCCGUAGGAUCGCGCAACCCUUUGUGUGUGUGGCUGCUGGUACGUGUGAUCUUUGAAAACCUUGGCUUUAGCCCUCUGGAAUCAGAGCUUACCCACCAUAGUAUAUUUUGAUAUUAGGUGGUUCUACACAUAGUUGGCAAAAUGACUUGGUAAAUUUGUAAUGCUGAAGUAUAUUAGUAUAAGUUAAAUUUGAUGUGUCAACUUUAUUUUGUAUUUCCUUCCAUUUGGAAGGUUUGUUAGACCAUUAAGGUUAUAUUAAAGUACUCUUGUGUGUGCUAUUUAGUUUUGCUUGUUUUAAAGAAAUCUAGAAGUGGUUAUGAGUUUUAAUUCAUAGAAUUGUCAAUAACAUAACAUUUGCAAUCGUCAUUCCUCCUGUUAUCCAUGUAAGCAGCUUUAGUCGUAGGUUCUCUUCAUUAUAAUUUAUUAUUUGUAAAGAUUCCUUGAAACAUAUUCAGUACCAAAAUGCAUCUGAAACCAUUAAGCAGUGCUUUUAUUUCAGAUCUGUAAGUUAAUUGUAUUAAAAUCCAAAUUGGAAUGAAAUAGUAGUAAUGGCCUAAGACCAUGUUCAGUUUGACAAGCUUUAUAUACUGUACAUAAUUUCAUUGUAACCCUUAAAAAUAGAGCCAAUAAUAGAAUUUCCACAGUCUCAUUUAUACGGUUAAAGCAUUAUUGCUAUUAUGUAGGUCACGGAUGUUUAUAAUACUAAAGUAUUUUAAAAUGCGCAAGUAGAAAAAACAGUAGAAAGUGAUGCAUGCAUAUUUAUAUAUAAGUAAAGCUAGGAUUGUGCUGUUUUUGCACUUUAUAAUUUCAGUUAAGUUGCGGCUUUUUACUACAAGUUACCUUUAUUAGUAAAAGGAGCAAAUUAGACCUAAUGCAUUGAUCUCGGUUAAGUGAGCAGACUGCAUGACUUGUGUAAUGCCAGUUUCUCAUUUCAUAUUAGCCUAAAUAUUACAGAAAUUACUCCUUGGGCUCUAAAAUGUAGAGGAAAUGAAAAUGUAAGGAUUAAGGCUGUGUAACAAAAUCUGGCUUUUUAAAAUUUAAGUGAAGCUGAGCUGUAAACAUCAAGAGGAAGUAGGACAUAAACUGGGCCGGUACAGCCUGGAAGCCCUGUGUAUUUCUGCCCUCCGUCUGUGAGCUGCUAUCUCAGUCUCCUUCAGCUCUUCAUGUCUUAGUAAACAGCACCACGUGCAGAUGUAAUCUUGUUGCAGUCCCCCAGUGUGGUUGUCAUAAAAUGCAUUUCUUUGUAAGUCAUCUCUGUAAACAGUCACUUUCUAAAAGCACUAUAGUUCUGGUCCCCUGGAAUCUGGAUCACAUGUAUGAUUUAUUUUUAAUAUUUGAUAGGAACUAGGUUUCAGUGAAAUGAUUUGAAAGCAUAGCAGGAUGUGGCUUUUUAAAUUUAUGAAACUUUCGAACAGUAGCAACUGAAAUUUGUCACUUUUCUGUUACGCAGAGAAUCAGACCUUUUGAUAAUAUUUGGGAGGGUAAAAGAAAUAUGCCAAAUAUGAAACUUUUCUGUCAGCACUACAUACAUCACAUACAUCUUUUUUUUGCAGGGGGCGGGGGGGACGGAGUCUCACUGUGUCACUCAGACUGGAGUACAGUGAUGCGAUCUCGGCUCACUGCAACCUCCGCCUCCUGGGUUCAAGCGAUUCUCCUGCUUCAGCCUCCUGAGUAGCUGGGAUUACAGGUGCACACCACCACGCCCGGCUAAUUUUUGUAUUUUUAGUAGAGAUGGGGUUUCACCAUGUUGGUCAGGCUGGUCUUGAACUCCUGACCUCGUUCCUGCCUUAGCCUCCUAAAGUGCCGGGAUUACAGGCGUGAACCACCGCACCUGGCCAGUACUACAUCCAUUUUAUUGAAUAAUUUUGAAUGACUUAAAGUUCAACUAUGAAAAAGCUUUCUUUUCACAUGUACUUUUUGAUUAGGUAUUAUCAACUUAUGAAACUUGAAGAUGCGAAGUGACAGGUUUUGCAUGUGAUGAGUGUUUUCUGUUUAAAUAUUGAAAUAUUAACCCAUUAAAUACAUUUUUAUGGUAACCUGUGUUUUACAGUGGAGUUUUAAAAAUGCUAGGUCUUUCAUUUUAUUGAUAACUACAAAUGAAUAAAAAGCAUUUAUUCUCUUUGUUGA